UACAGAGGUCCCGAGCGUUGUUCGGAUUCAUUGGGCGUAAAGGGUGCGUAGGCGGCGGGGUAAGUCUGAUGUGAAAUCCCGGGGCUCAACCCUGGAACUGCAUUGGAUACUGCCUUGCUAGAGAACUGGAGAGGAGACUGGAAUUUACGGUGUAGCAGUGAAAUGCGUAGAGAUCGUAAGGAAGACCAGUGGCGAAGGCGAGUCUCUGGACAGUAUCUGACGCUGAGGCACGAAGGCCAGGGGAGCAAACGGG
rnacentral:rRNA from 1 species